AGAGUUUGAUCCUGGCUCAGGAUGAACGCUGGCGGCGUGCUUAACACAUGCAAGUCGAGCGAGGCACUUAAGUUCGAUUCUUCGGAUGAGGACUUUUGUGACUGAGCGGCGGACGGGUGAGUAACGCGUGGGUAACCUGCCUCAUACAGGGGGAUAACAGUUAGAAAUGGCUGCUAAUACCGCAUAAGACCACAGUACUGCAUGGUACGGUGGUAAAAACUCCGGUGGUAUGAGAUGGACCCGCGUCUGAUUAGGUAGUUGGUGAGGUAACGGCCCACCAAGCCGACGAUCAGUAGCCGACCUGAGAGGGUGACCGGCCACAUUGGGACUGAGACACGGCCCAGACUCCUACGGGAGGCAGCAGUGGGGAAUAUUGCACAAUGGGCGAAAGCCUGAUGCAGCGACGCCGCGUGAAGGAUGAAGUAUUUCGGUAUGUAAACUUCUAUCAGCAGGGAAGAAAAUGACGGUACCUGACUAAGAAGCCCCGGCUAACUACGUGCCAGCAGCCGCGGUAAUACGUAGGGGGCAAGCGUUAUCCGGAUUUACUGGGUGUAAAGGGAGCGUAGACGGCUGUGCAAGUCUGAAGUGAAAGGCAUGGGCUCAACCUGUGGACUGCUUUGGAAACUGUGCAGCUAGAGUGUCGGAGAGGUAAGUGGAAUUCCUAGUGUUAGCGGUGAAAUG
rnacentral:rRNA from 1 species